CAAGCUGAUAGAAGACGAUAUAUAGUUACAGGUAUACCCUGGGAAAAAGGUUGUACGAAAAUAAGGUUAACGCGUGGCAUGGCGAAGCAGAAGAGUCUAUAUUUACGUCGUAGACGGGAAUAUUAAGGUGGUUGAAUAGACGCCAUAAAAGUACAACGUGAAGUUGCCGCAGGCCGCUGCGGCAAAUUUAACGGAGCGAUAAAUCUUAUUUGCUAGACACAAUGGCGUAGCGCGUACAGCUACUGUCGUCUGUAUUUAUUCAAACGACUUCGUCGAAUCGUCAAGACGUCAAGACGAAUUUUGGAUAAAAGCGAAAAAUAAUUUAGGAGUAAGUAAGUCGUGAUAUCGUACUGUAUACGUUCUGUGUGCAGUCACGCGUAUCUAUUCGUGAAUAUACUCGGAAUACGUACCAACAGAAAUAGGGGCCUGAUCGCAGGAAGGUAUUAAUUGUGAAACUUCCCGUGUGCCUACGGGAAACAUUUCUCGGCUAGUGAAUUAAAAAGGAAGGAAAUUAAAAACGCUGAGAAUUCAAGACAAAGAUAUUACUCUGACUUCCAUCACUUGUUUUAUUAUUUUCUGUCUGCUGCGUCUGCCACAGCAGAUACACUACUUUGCCUACGUGUUUAUUUUGAGAUCCCAGCGCGCAAGGCUCAAUGCGCAAGUGACUGCUGCACUUUAACUAUCGGGUGUACCAGAAAAUUUACGAGCAGCGAUAAGAUAAAUGGAAGAAUAAUUUCAUUGGGUGGCUCAGAGCGCCGUACAAGAUCGCGUGACAAGGAGCGUUCCCAAGCGAUGAAAAAUCGGCGACGGCGUUCGCCCGUAUCUGAAGGAUCAGCAACAGUGCAGUACCGAUACCGCCAGAGACGUGGAGAAAGAAAACAAAAACAGUCACCAGGGCCCCGAGAGAGUCACCGAACAAGGUUAAAACCCAAGAGAGACUCUUCGGGUCUUUUACCACGUCUGCUGGCUACAGUACCGGCAGACGUCGAGGCUUUGCCGGCCGUCGGCAGUAGUGACAGCCGUGGCAGCAGCUUGACAUACUGGCCGCCGCGCAGUCUGUCUCGGGAGAAACAAUCGAAGCUAAAAAGAAGAGUCCCACAGUAGCCACCAAUGAAUUCUAAGUGGUUCAACGCGGAGUGUCCUCGAAUCGAUUAUAGCUGAUCGUAGUGGGUUCGAUCGUUAAUAAACCUGGAUUAAUUACUAACGAGGUCAGCGACCGGCAGCGUCGGAUAAACUAGACGCCGGGACGUCUUAUCGAAAUUGACGAGCGACGUCGACGAUGCCGCAGUGUACAUAUAUAGAGUACAUACAGUGUUGCACAUAAAUAAAAUCAUAUACUCUCCCGUACACACAUGACCACACGUGUUCGGUGUGCACGUGGCGUCUAAUACCUACGUGCAUCCGUAUUAGAUUGCAGCUGUGUACAUACGUGCCUACCCAUAGUGCACUGGUGCCUGUGCUAGGGGAUCCAAGAGACUUAGGAUCAAGAGACAGUAUAAGUGACAGGAGUUCAGGAGCGUCGCGCCGGAUGCAUCGCCCUGUGCAUAUUUAAGCGUCCCGACAAAAUUUCCUAUUCGAGCGCCGCGCAGGGCGUCUGUCUACGGAUGAAGAAAGUUUGGUUACUAAGAUUUUGCUGGUACUGUACACUGAUACCAAAUUGCAGUAUCGUCAGAGGAACUGAACCUUAACCUACAAAAUAUCAUAUACGCCUCGAUGUAGUCGUACUUGGACCAAAGUGAAAACUGAAUUUCUUUCCAAAUAACAAAAAUUAUAUUUAAUCAACGCAUUCGAUGGAAGUCAAAAUGCAAUUACUAAGGAAUAUAGAACACACGGGAAUGGAUGCUUGUAUUAAAAAUUUUUCCCAAAACUACCCGUGCACGUGGUAGCCGCCCACGGGGACAGGGGCGUAUUUUUCGAAACCCAUAAUACACCGCGCGACACUGUAUCGCGACCUGAGAAAGGAUUCCAGGAGGUUUGUGACUGUACCCAAGACUUGUAUCAACGGCAGGGGACAGCGACGUCUCCUCCUUUUACAGAACCCGAUCCUGCUCGUGAAAAACCUACCCUAUCCCCAUCUCGCAAAAACUCGUUCCUGAUUCAGCAUGGAACCGAAAAACUAAGUCCUGCAGAAGACGCGCAACAGCAGAACAGACGUGCAGUAAGAACUGUCGAGGAAAGCUGGAUAUUAUAUCUGGAAUCAAAAAUAAAUCCAUCAUCCUUGCAAACGACGUGAGCAUAACCGCAAACAUGGCGGGAGUACCUUGUACGCUAGCAAAUAUAAUUUGUCAACACAAAUCUCUGCGAGAAGACCACACACCAAUAUUUUCUUUAGCAGACUGUACAUAAUCGACAAAAGAUAUUCCAACUAAACGACUGCAAGGUCGAUUGGUUGCGUAAAGUUCCCGCAAGUCCCACUACCCAAGCAUCCCCGCGCGUAAGAAACAAUAAAGCGCCACAUUGUGUCGUAGUUAAUCGUGAAGUUAGCUACGGACCGCAAAAGCCGUUACUUUGCGCGCCAUGGUUCAGAAGACUGAAUAAAUACGUGUCCAGCCUGCCACACAAUGCACCCAGCCAAUCGACCCCCUAGCGACACCUCCCGCUACGAUCAGACUUUGCACUGGAAAUCAGCCUUAAUCCUUAUCCACUAUUAAAAAACAAAGAAUCAUCCAAUCUGACAAUAAAUUUACGUCACCAACAAACGAGCGAAGGAGCCCCACGUAAAUUACUACGAAUAAACUGUGACUAGACUAUACCUAUAUAUAUCAUCAAUAAAAUCAAACCUAACCUGACGCAACCUCAUCUAGCGUAUUGCCUUUAUUACGUAUAUUAGCUUAACUGUUCUCCUUAACGUCAUGCAGCUGCCGAGCAUUCAAGAAGAACCAUUUGAGAAUACAUAUACCACAAUGUAAUUCAUUCAAAUAUAUAUAUAUAUAUAUAUUUAUACACCUGUAUACUUCUUCACCCAUGACUCAACAAAAAUCCAGUCAAUCCAUAACAAUCAAAGCCAAUGAUAACAGAUUCCCGUUUUCCCGUGAUAAAACGCCUAGUAGAUUCAUUCGGUCAUUCAUUGAUUUUAUCUGACGAAACUUAAGUCAUUCAACUGUCACUGCGCCUAACCUCUACAUACAUAACACAAAGUCAUACUACACAGUCUAGACGAUAAGUAUAUCUAUAUUGCCUUGUCUAUAUAUAUUUCAGGUACACGUGAAAGGCUGCGGUGAGGAUUAUUCCGAUUAGUGCAUGCAAGAGAGAUAGGCAGCAGUACAGGAAUUACUAGUAAUCGUACUAUAUGCAAAUACAAUAGCCAUCCGUAGAUACAAGUAUUACGGAGAAACAGAUUAAACUAUACCUAGACACCCAGGUAUACAGAUACAGACUAUAGAGGGAUAUCCAACGUACGAAGGACAAAAUAUUCCAUAGGCAAAGGUCUGAGUAUUAUUCCAGUCGAAUGAAUUUAGCUUUAGUUACGUGCCAGUACUAAAGCUAAGUUCAUACAGGGGCAAUGCUGGUUAGUCGUUAUUAUCGUGGUCGGAGUAUAGAAACGCCGUGAAGUUGGGCUGCGAGAAUUUGACGUCGACGUGUUUACAACGUCGGUGCAUUCGCGCGGACGUACCAAUGAGAAUCGCAAAGGCGCAAUGGACACUCAGGCAUAUGUG